CCUUAAAGCAUAAAUCACAUUCAUACCAGUAAGUAAAUAGAAGCAAUCUAGGAUUAUCAACCAGUGAGUAAAUUCAGAAAUAAUGUUCAUUCUUUUAACUUAUCAACUAAAACCAUAACCUAUCAUCCCUCAACACCACAUUUUGUAAACUUGAAAUAAAAUAAAUAAAUAAAUAAAAAGUCAAUCCGGUCCAGAAUUUUUAAACCACCGUGAGACCAUCGAAA
rnacentral:lncRNA from 1 species